rnacentral:rRNA from 1 species
AUUGAACGCUGGCGGCAGGCCUAACACAUGCAAGUCGAGCGGAUGAAGGGAGCUUGCUCCUGGAUUCAGCGGCGGACGGGUGAGUAAUGCCUAGGAAUCUGCCUGGUAGUGGGGGAUAACGUCCGGAAACGGGCGCUAAUACCGCAUACGUCCUGAGGGUGAAAGUGGGGGAUCUUCGGACCUCACGCUAUCAGAUGAGACUAGGUCGGAUUAGCUAGUUGGUGGGGUAAAGGCCUACCAAGGCGACGAUCCGUAACUGGUCUGAGAGGAUGAUCAGUCACACUGGAACUGAGACACGGUCCAGACUCCUACGGGAGGCAGCAGUGGGGAAUAUUGGACAAUGGGCGAAAGCCUGAUCCAGCCAUGCCGCGUGUGUGAAGAAGGUCUUCGGAUUGUAAAGCACUGUAAGUUGGGAGGAAGAGCAGUAAGUUAAUACCUGGAUGUUUUGACGUUACCAACAGAAUAAGCACCGGCUAACUACGUG